GGAGAGCUGUCAGAGUGGCCGAACGAGCGCGCUUGGAAAGCGCGUAUACUGUAACAGGUAUCGAGGGUUCGAAUCCCUCGCUCUCCG
rnacentral:tRNA from 2 species